rnacentral:ncRNA from 1 species
ACCAAGGAGUCUAACAUGUGCGCGAGCCGCGGGGCAGUACGAAACCCGUAAGGCGAAAUGAAGGUGAACGCCGGCGCGGUCCGGCGGAGGUUGGAUCCCGUCCCGUCGGGGCGGGCGCACUACCGGCCGAUCUUCUCCGCCCUGUCGGCGAGGUCGAGCGAGAGCGUGCAAGUCGGGACCCGAAAGAUGGUGAACUAUGCCUGAGGAGGUUGAAGCCAGAGGAAACUCUGGUGGAGGACCGUAGCGAUUCUGACGUGCAAAUCGAUCGUCAAAUUUGGGUAUAGGGGCGAAAGACUAAUCGAACCGUCUAGUAGCUGGUUCCCUUCGAAGUUUCCCUCAGGAUAGCUGGCGCUCUGUCGCAGUUUUAUCUGGUAAAGCGAAUGAUUAGAGGUCUUGGGGGCGAAACGCCCUCAACCUAUUCUCAAACUUUAAAUUGGUAAGAAGCCCGACUCGCUCGUUUGGAGCCGGAAAUG